AUAAUAUUUACAAGUUUCUCUUGUAAUAGCACCAAUAAUUUGUAAUGUGCCAAAUGUUAUACAUGAAAUUUGGGUUGAAGAAAUAUGACAAAACAGUGCAAGACAUAGUUGCAAAAAAAAAAAAAAAAGAAAAGAAAAGGAAAAAAAAAACAAAACAAAACAAAAAAAUCAACCAAGUUCUCCUGAGUCUGCCGAGUCUCAGUAGCUAUCAGCCAAAUGGUUUGGUCUCUUAUGUGCUUUUUUCAUGAGUGCUUUUGCAGUUUAACUUCAUAUUUAAGGAAAAUCCCCAGUGCUGAACAAACACCUACAGUGUUUUCAUAACUGCACCUGGAUACAAAUUAACACUGAUUCUUCAUUCAAUACUGGGGAUUUUUCUAUGCAGUUUGUUUUGUUUUGUAAUGAACCUGUGUCUCAGCAAGAAGCAGUGAGGUAAUCUGAUUCCUGCUUUUUUUCUCCUGAACUCCCCUUAAGCCUUUUUAGGGUUUUUUUGGAUUUGACAAACAGUAGCUCUGACCAUUAUGCUCUCUGUUACUGGUCCCAAUUCUUUUAAGAUCCCAAAAUGCUUUCUUAAGACUUGAGCAGCUUUUAGGGCUAAAAUAUAGUUAAAAACGUUACAACAGUUGCCUCAGAUUAGUAGUGAAAGGGCUGAACAGAACGUUUAUUUGCAACACUGUAGAGAUAGUUGCAAUGUCACGAUGGUUUGUUGCAAGCUGUUAACAUUAUCAUGACUGCUUACGAUUUAUUUACUUUGUCGAGAAAUGGUAUACAAAAAAUGUGUGAAUUCUAGGCUGUCCUCAAUGGUUAUCAUUCAAAGAGUGAAUUUCAUUUGUCCUUAUUUUAAGCAACACUAUUUUUAUGAGGAGUCUUCAGAGGUUACAACAAUAAAACAUUUGGUUUGUAUUUCUCUAAAGAUAACUCUUUGCUCUUGCCUUUUUUCCCCACUUUUGUGCUCAGCGGUAGAAGUUUGAGAAUUGUAAUGGAAGCAGUAAAGACUAACCCCUCUCUGUCAGAUGUUAUUUUUGGGAAUGUGCCAGGUUUGCUUCUGCAGGUCCAGUGCACAGAAUUUUCAUGGCACAUUUUGCUGAUCCUUCUUCUGUGGCAAAACGGCUUGCUGGGAAGAUUCUAAUAUUUGCCAUAUCGGCGAUAGCAUAUGGUCCCAACUAAUAAGACUGAAUACUAUGUUCAUGACACAAAGGUGCAGCACUGACCUAUUGAAAAAUGUAGUCUGCUUUUCUGACAAAUACAAUGCGAUAGGCAGACAUUUGCUAGGAUCCUAUUUUCCCUGUCAUUAUGGCACUUAGAGCUCAGGUAACACAACUCCAUUUGAAGCACUGGACUAAUAAGGUUAAGUGUGGCUUUUAAUAUCAUCCAUUAUUGAUCUUGUUAACCUGUGCACAUAGAAAAUUAGGUAUGGGGUGCAUGUGUGUGUUACAUCAAGAAAGUGUAUGUGAAUUACAUUCAGUGCCGUUUUAUGACUCCCUUUUACAGUGUAGUCUUGUAAACUCAACGAUGCAUAUACUUUUUUUCAACAGCAAAACUUAUAUUUCUCUAGAACAUUGAAUGCCUCCUUGGGCUAUUUUUUUUUGUUUGUUUGUUUGUUUGUUU
ensembl:lncRNA